UGAGGAAUAUUGGUCAAUGGGUGCAAGCCUGAACCAGCCAUCCCGCGUGAAGGACGACUGCCCUAUGGGUUGUAAACUUCUUUUGUAUAGGGAUAAACCUACCCUCGUGAGGGUAGCUGAAGGUACUAUACGAAUAAGCACCGGCUAACUCCGUGCCAGCAGCCGCGGUAAUACGGAGGGUGCAAGCGUUAUCCGGAUUUAUUGGGUUUAAAGGGUCCGUAGGCGGACUUAUAAGUCAGUGGUGAAAGCCUGCCGCUUAACGAUAGAACUGCCAUUGACACUGUAAGUCUUGAGUAUAUUUGAGGUAGCUGUAAUAAGUAGUGUUGCGGUGAAAUGCAUAGAUAUUACUUAGAACACCAAUUGCGAAGGCAGGUUACCAAGAUAUAACUGACGCUGAGGGACGAAAGCGUGGGGAGCGAACA
rnacentral:rRNA from 1 species